UACGAAGGGGGCUAGCGUUGCUCGGAAUCACUGGGCGUAAAGCGCACGUAGGCGGCUCUUUAAGUCAGGGGUGAAAUCCUGGAGCUCAACUCCAGAACUGCCCUUGAUACUGAGGAGCUUGAGUCCGGGAGAGGUGAGUGGAACUGCGAGUGUAGAGGUGAAAUUCGUAGAUAUUAGGAAGAACACCAGUGGCGAAGGCGGCUCACUGGCCCGGUACUGACGCUGAGGCGCGAAAGCGUGGGGAGCAAACAGG
rnacentral:rRNA from 1 species